UCCCCGUUACCGAGGCAGUUCAACUAGAAAAAUACAACUAGUUGCAAGGGUUGCGCUCGUUGAAGGACUUAACCUAACAUCUCACGACACGAGCUGACGACGGCCAUGCAUCAUCUGUCACCGAGUUCAAUAAAGCACUCACUACUUUCGUAGUAAUUCUCGGGAUGUCAAACACUGGUAAGGUUCUUCGUUUAGCAUCGAAUUAAAGAACAUGAUCCACCGCUUGUGCGGGUCCCCGUCAAUUCCUUUAUGUUUUAGUCUUGCGACCGUACUCCACAGGCGGGAUACUUAACGCGUUAGCUUCGCUACUGAAGGGGUCGAUACCUCCAACAGCUAGUAUCCAUCGUUUACGGCGUGGACUAC
rnacentral:misc_RNA from 1 species